UACAGAGGUCUCAAGCGUUGUUCGGAUUCAUUGGGCGUAAAGGGUGCGUAGGCGGCGCGGUAAGUCGGGUGUGAAAUCUCGGGGCUUAACUCCGAAACUGCAUUCGAUACUGCCGUGCUUGAGGACUGGAGAGGAGACUGGAAUUUACGGUGUAGCGGUGGAAUGCGCAGAUAUCAGGAGGAACACCAAUAGCGAAGGCAGCUCGCUGGGACGUAACUGACACUGAGGCGCGAAAGCGUGGGGAGCGAACAGG
rnacentral:rRNA from 1 species